CCUACGGGGAGCAGCAGUAGGGAAUCUUUCACAAUGGGCGAAAGCCUGAUGGAGCAACGUCGCGUGCAGGAUGAAGGCCUUCGGGUUGUAAACUGCUUUUAUAAGCGAGAAAUAUGAUGGUAACUUAUGAAUAAGGAUCGGCUAACUACGUGCCAGCAGCCGCGGUCAUACGUAGGAUCCGAGCAUUAUCCGGAGUGACUGGGUGUAAAGAGUUGCGUAGGUGGCAUAAUAAGUAGCUAGUGAAAUCUGGUGGCUCAACCAUUCAGACUAUUAGCUAAACUGUUAAGCUCGAGACCGUUAGGGGUAACUGGAAUGUCUAGUGUAGGAGUGAAAUCCGUAGAUAUUAGAAGGAACACCAAUAGCGUAGGCAGGUUGCUGGGACGGUUCUGACACUAAGGCACGAAAGCGUAGGGAGCAAACGGGAUUAGAUACCCUAGUAGUC
rnacentral:rRNA from 1 species